GGGUGAGUAACACGUGACUAACCUACCCUCCGAGUGGGGGAAGUAAACUCCGGGAAAACCGGGGGCUAAUACCGCAUAACAUCUUCGGAACGCGAGUUCUGUUGAUCAAAGGAGCAAUUCGCUUGAGGAGGGAGUCGCGGCUGAUUAGCUAGUUGGCGGGGUAAUGGCCCACCAAGGCUUAGAUCGGUAGCCGGCCUGAGAGGGCGCACGGCCACACUGGAACUGAAACACGGUCCAG
rnacentral:rRNA from 1 species